AGAAGCGUGGUCGAGUGGUUUAUGACGCAGCCCUGCUAAGGCUGAAAGUUGAGCAAUCAGCUUCAUGAGUUCGAAUCUCAUCGCUUCUGCCA
rnacentral:tRNA from 1 species